GAGGGUAUAGCUCAGUGGUAGAGUGCAUGCUUAGCAUGAACGAAUGAGGUCCUGGGUUCAAGCUCCUGCACCUCCA
rnacentral:tRNA from 1 species